CCUACGGGAGGCAGCAGUGGGGAAUAUUGCACAAUGGAGGGAACCCUGAUGCAGCGACGCCGCGUGCGUGAAGAAGUAUUUCGGUAUGUAAAGCUCUAUUUGCAGGGAAGAAAAUGCCGGUACCUGUCUCAGAAGCCCCGGCUAACUACGUGCCAGCAGCCGCGGUAAUACGUAGGGGGCAAGCGUUAUCCGGAUUUACUGGGUGUAAAGGGAGCGUAGACGGCAGAGCAAGUCUGAAGUGAAAGCCCGCGGCUCAACUGCGGGACUGCUUUGGAUACUGCCCGGCUAGAGUGCUGGAGGGGUAAGCGGAAUGCAUAGUGUAGCGGUGAAAUGCGUAGAGAUUAGGAGGAACACCAGUUGCGAAGGCAGCUUACUAAACAGUAACUGACGUUGAGGCACGAAAGCGUGGGGAGCAAACAGGAUUAGAUACCCGGGUAGUC
rnacentral:rRNA from 1 species